rnacentral:tRNA from 1 species
GUGAGUUUAGCUCAGUUGGUUAGAACAAUGCAUAAAAUAUGCAAUGUUCGGGGUUCAAACCCCAACCAAUACAAA